CUGGCCUCGGUGGGGACUCAUUAAAAUAUAGGUUAGCAGCUCUGGCAGCACCGUGAGACAGCCUUGGCCCAGACGCCAGGAUGGUCGUGGAGACCGUGGAAGGAGUCUUGGGAACUGAACAUCAUCACCACAGAGGCGAGAAGGAAGACAAUCGUGCUGGGGGCAAAGGCCCGUGCAACACCACUGGGACUCCCAGAAAGCCUCGGAAGGUAAUGACUUAACCAUCCGUCGUGAGUCCCAGGGCUGCAGAACAGAACACGUUUGUCCUUUAAAUGCUAUUGGGAAAGAGAAACCAGAAGAAAAUUGGAAAAAGCAGUUUUCCCAGGCUUCAGUCCUUGCAGGCCAUUUUUCUCCAAUUUCUCUGGAAAUGAGAGACAUGUGACCAUGGCUUUCAGACCUGCAGGUUGCACAACUCAAGGGAGCACCAUGACCUUAUGUGAAUGUUGUCUCCUAGAGUUGUGCAAAGCACUGACCCUGAUCCCUUUACAACUGCCAUUCAUACAACUGCCUGCAAAAAAUGGUGUUUGUGGCCAACUGGAUAUUCUAUUCUCGUAUUCUUUUCCUACCACCUGGUUCAGGUUAAACGAUGUUUUUAGCCUCAGUCUAUUUUUACCUUUUCCUGCUCAUCAUUCAACAUGGGACCUUUCAUCCCAUACCAAGGGUCGCGAUAUGCAAUCUGUCACAAGGGAGUUUGGGGGGGUGAAAAAGAAAAGGUUCUAAGUUGCUCCAAAGGAGCUGAAAAGGUGUGAGAAUUUUGUUCUAGAAAAGGUAUGAGAAUUGGCUUUGUGACAGAAAAGAGUACUUUAGCUCUCAGCUCUCAUGUCUGGUGUUGAGGGUUAAUACGCUGAGAGCGUGGCGUUCCUAGCAGGUGAUGAGAAAGCAGCGUGUCCCCUCACCAGCACCUCCCA
rnacentral:lncRNA from 1 species